GGCCUGGACGAAAGCUUAUGUUUUUCUCCCUUUGGACGUAAUCUUCUCUUAAGAUCCCGACUAGGAACCAAGCCGCGAAGUAAGGAAUGAAGUCGUACGUUCCUCGAUGUAUUCCUAGCCCCGUGCUCCCUAUAAGAAGAAUCACCCGCCAACACGGUCCCGGAGAUGGCAGACCUCGUAGGACCGCAGCGAGCGCAAAAGUCACCUCAAGCCCAGAGAGGCAGUGUCACCGUACGAGCAGAACCAGUGGGCCGGUGUGGAUAACAGGCAGUAUAAAACGCAGCAGUACUCGAAGGAUCAAACAGAUCAUUAUUUCUACAUCGUUACACACUACGAACAGUCGUCCCCUUCUCAGUAGUUGAAGGAAAAAGCCUCAGGUCAGCACUCCACUUUGUAGGAAAUCUUGAACACAAAAGUCUACAUACCCCAGGACGAGUCUGAAGACAGUCACCAGUAUUAAUGAUAUAGUCAAAGCAACUACGAAUAUCAGCGAAAUGGACCGAAAUGGAAUAAUUUGCGUUUAGACUACACAAACUAUAAAAACAAGUCAAAGUUUUUGUACAACUUGCAGAAGAGUUCGUGUUUUAACAAGUACAGGUC
rnacentral:rRNA from 1 species